rnacentral:rRNA from 1 species
AUUGAACGCUGGCGGCAGGCCAACACAUGCAAGUCGAACGGUAACAGGAAGCAGCUUGCUGCUUCGCUGACGAGUGGCGGACGGGUGAGUAAUGUCUGGGAAACUGCCUGAUGGAGGGGGAUAACUACUGGAAACGGUAGCUAAUACCGCAUAACGUCGCAAGACCAAAGAGGGGGACCUUAGGGCCUCUUGCCAUCGGAUGUGCCCAGAUGGGAUUAGCUAGUAGGUGGGGUAACGGCUCACCUAGGCGACGAUCCCUAGCUGGUCUGAGAGGAUGACCAGCCACACUGGAACUGAGACACGGUCCAGACUCCUACGGGAGGCCGCAGUGGGGAAUAUUGCACAAUGGGCGCAAGCCUGAUGCAGCCAUGCCGCGUGUAUGAAGAAGGCCUUCGGGUUGUAAAGUACUUUCAGCGGGGAGGAAGGGAGUAAAGUUAAUACCUUUGCUCAUUGACGUUACCCGCAGAAGAAGCACCGGCUAACUCCGUG